rfam:Camelus ferus unplaced genomic scaffold scaffold402, whole genome shotgun sequence.
GAGGGUAUAGCUCAGUGAUGGAGCACGUGCUUAGCACGAAUGAGGUCCUGAGUUCAAUCCCCAGUACCUCCA